AAGACUAUAGACCUGCGGAGUACCUGCGGAGGGAUCAUUAGCGUAUCUAUGAUGGGGUGCGGAGCGCCCUGCUCCGGUCGAACGGCCGUGCAGCGGGUGCGCCGCCCCCGUCCCACCUCACAAACCCACUGUGAACAUUCACCGGUGGAGGGGGCUCGGUCUGCGCCGUGUCCCCGAUGCCGAAUACCCAAACUCCAGUUGCAAAGAACGUCGUGCGGACUCGGUGCCGCCUAAAACAUG
rnacentral:misc_RNA from 1 species